rnacentral:rRNA from 1 species
AUUGAACGCUGGCGGCAGGCUUAACACAUGCAAGUCGAGCGGGGUGAUGGUGCUUGCACUAUCACUUAGCGGAGGACGGGUGAGUAAUGCUUAGGAAUCUGCCUAUUAGUGGGGGACAACAUUUCGAAAGGAAUGCUAAUACCGCAUACGUCCUACGGGAGAAAGCAGGGGAUCUUCGGACCUUGCGCUAAUAGAUGAGCCUAAGUCGGAUUAGCUAGUUGGUGGGGUAAAGGCCUACCAAGGCGACGAUCUGUAGCGGGUCUGAGAGGAUGAUCCGCCACACUGGGACUGAGACACGGCCCAGACUCCUACGGGAGGCAGCAGUGGGGAACAUUGGACAAUGGGCGGAAGCCUGAUCCAGCCAUGCCGCGUGUGUGAAGAAGGCCUUAUGGUUGUAAAGCACUUUAAGCGAGGAGGAGGCUACUUUAGUUAAUACCUAGAGAUAGUGGACGUUACUCGCAGAAUAAGCACCGGCUAACUCUGUGCCAGCCGCCGCCGUAACAC